rnacentral:rRNA from 1 species
GAUGAACGCUGGCGGCGUGCCUAAUACAUGCAAGUCGAGCGAACGGACGAGAAGCUUGCUUCUCUGAUGUUAGCGGCGGAAGGGUGAGUAACACGUGGAUAACCUACCUAUAAGACUGGGAUAACUUCGGGAAACCGGAGCUAAUACCGGAUAAUAUUUUGAACCGCAUGGUUCAAAAGUGAAAGAGGGUCUUGCUGUCACUUAUAGAUGGAUCCGCGCUGCAUUAGCUAGUUGGUAAGGUAACGGCUUACCAAGGCAACGAUGCAUAGCCGACCUGAGAGGUUGAACGGCCACACUGGAACUGAGACACGGUCCAGACUCCUACGGGAGGCAGCAGUAGGGAAUCUUCCGCAAUGGGCGAAAGCCUGAUGGAGCAACGCCGCGUGAGUGAUGAAGGUCUUCGGAUCGUAAAACUCUGUUAUUAGGGAAGAACAGAUGUUUAAGUAACUGUGCACAUCUUGACGGUACCUAAUCAGAAAGCCACGGCUAACUACGUG